AGUCAGAGCAGGGUUCAGCAAACCAUGGC
rnacentral:piRNA from 1 species